AGGGAAUUUGGCUGCAUCAAAAAAUUUCAGGUCCAUUACCUCUUCAAAUACAUCAAGAAGAUAUGCCAACCAACCAAGUGAAAGGUCCAGGUAUCCUAUUUCCUCUCCACCAAAAAAUGUCUUCUCUUUCAGUUGCUCUUCAAGGAGUUCUAGAUUUUGUACUGCUGGACCAAGAGCUUCAUUUUUGUCGUUUCCUUGUCCUGUGAAAACACUCCAUAUUGAUGGCAGAAGCUGCAGAUGAAAAAAGCAUCAGCGAAUAUUUUUCUCAUUCUUGAUAAGGUAAGCUUAUUGUUAUAACUGGAAAUGUCUACUAUCUGAGUAAUACUCUCUAUUAUCUUGUCACUCUCUUCACAUAUUAAUACUGAUACAUUAAGAUAGUUGACUGAAAUUCCUCUUCUCUUUGUUCUGAAUUUAGAUUAAUGGUUUCUUACCUUGUCCUCCCCAAAUUUUGCCCAAAAACGCGCUAUGGCUUUCUCGUAAGGGUCCUGAGGUAACAAAGGAGCUUCCUUCCAAGUCUCGUCAAUAUACUCGAGAAUUACCAGUGAUUCACAGAUUGGUUUGCCUUUGUGUACAAGCACAGGAAUCUUUUUGUGAACAGGAUUAUGCUGCAGGAGUUCAGGGCUCUUCUGACUUAAAUCUUCAUAAAUUGUGUCAUAUCGGAUCCCUUUGAUGUGUAGUGC
rnacentral:lncRNA from 1 species